UCUAAGAAUUAGCGAGCUGAGGCAAUAAAAGGUCUUGAAAAAAUGGCUGAAACAGCAAUGCCUGAAGAACCCCUUCCAGCUGCUUCCCAGAAUAUCCAGAACAACCUUGCCAGUUCAGAGCAAGAGAUUCUGAAACCGCACUAAAGCAAUGACAGGCUUGUAAAUGCAACCUUCAGCACGAAACAGAAGGAAGCUUGGCGCAAGGCUAUAAAGAGUUUCUAUCAGAAGGAUAAUGACUUGGUGAAAAAAAAAAAUUGACCAUGAAAUACAGAUAAAUAUUUCCACAAAAAAAAAAAAACACAGACCAACAUUCCCAGGAGAAAAAACAAAGGCACAUCAAAAACAAGCACAAAGAUACUUAAUGUAAACAUAUACAACACCGGUAACAUCAUGUUUCAGGGAAAAGAAAUUACUUCUGCACUGGAGGAUUUUGAAGACAUAAAAAAAAUGGUGGAUGAUGUACAAAGGGAUGACUUGGGACCAUCUUCAGGGACUACUAAUCAGAAGAGGUUUGAGGACCAUCAAUAAUUAUAACCAUAAUUAUUAUUAUUCUUUAACCUGGAGUAUAAGGAUGGAAUCAGGAAAUGCCUAAUAUGUGCCCUACACUUCCUUUAAGGCAGUAGUCAGAGAUCAAGUAUGUUGCUCACAGCAAGACAGCCAUGGGUGGCUUUCCUGUCAUAUCAUUGGUGUUUUCUUUCCCAAUUUCUCUGACCCAACAUAUUUUCAUAGAAGCAGAUGGGAUCUAUUUAUUUUAUGACUGAGUAUAGGAAAAUGGCAUAAAUAAUGAUCGUCUUUUGAAGUUUUUAAUUUUGGAAAAUAACUUACUUAAUCACGCCUGUUUUUUUUCAAAUAAGACAAUACAAUAGUAUAUUGUAAAUGAGACAGUACAAUAAUAAAUUGUGUACUUCCCUACAUUUGUUUUAAUUUAUUAAAUUUAUGUUUAUGUUUUAAUUUUAUCCUUUCAUCUGUGGUCGGAUUCUAAAGCCUAAAUUGUGGUCCUGAAAAACUGCACUGGAUUCCAACCUAUGCAGUGGACUUGCAGUCUUUUAUUGAGGACAGAUCCGAUAUGUAUUUGAUUAGAUGUAAGUAUGACAAUACCAAUGGUCAAUGCAAACACAAACCAUUGUGGGAUUUUAGGACACAAAAGCUGUGCUAGAGAGACUAAGUAAUAACCUGUGUCAUAAGUAUUAGGUGUUUAAAGCUUUCAGUGGCAUAUAGGGUGAUAUAGGUUUAAAUGGCCAUGAUGAAAUAUUCCUAUUUUUUAACUUGUAAUGUUGUUUUGUCCUAUAACUUGCAUAUUUUAAUUUAAGUUUCAUUACUCUUUUUGUAUCUUAUUCUUGUUUGUUUAUUUUGGCAAUUGAUUAUCCCUAACUGUAA